rnacentral:rRNA from 1 species
GUCAGCAGCCGCGGUAACACCGGCGGCCCGAGUGGUGAUCGUGAUUAUUGGGUCUAAAGGGUCCGUAGCCGGUUUGGUCAGUCCUCCGGGAAAUCUGAUAGCUCAACUAUUAGGCUUUCGGGGGAUACUGCCAGACUUGGAACCGGGGGAGGUAAGAGGUACUACAGGGGUAGGAGUGAAAUCUUGUAAUCCCUGUGGGACCACCUGUGGCGAAGGCGUCUUACCAGAACGGGUUCGACGGUGAGGGACGAAAGCUGGGGGCACGAACCGGAUUAGAUACCCGGGUAGUCCCAGCCGUAACGAUGCUCGCUAGGUGUCAGGCAUGGCGCGACCGUGUCUGGUGCCGCAGGGAAGCCGUGAAGCGAGCCACCUGGGAAGUACGGCCGCAAGGCUGAAACUUAAAGGAAUUGGCGGGGGAGCACAACAACGGGUGGAGCCUGCGGUUUAAUUGGACUCAACGCCGGACAACUCACCGGGGGCGACAGCAAUAUGUAGGCCAAGCUGAAGACUUUGCCUGAAUCGCUGAGGGGUGGUGCAUGG